rnacentral:rRNA from 1 species
UGGGGAAUAUUGCACAAUGGAGGGAACUCUGAUGCAGCGACGCCGCGUGAGUGAUGAAGGAAUUCGUUUCGUAAAACUCUGUUCUAUGGGAAGAAAAGGACUGUACCAUAGGAGAAAGCUCCGGCUAAAUACGUGCCAGCAGCCGCGGUAAUACGUAUGGAGCGAGCGUUGUCCGGAAUUAUUGGGCGUAAAGGGUGCGCAGGCGGCUUUACAAGUUGGAUGUGAAAUAUUGUGGCUCAACCACAAACGUGCAUCCAAAACUGCAAAGCUUGAGUUAAGGAGAGGUAAGUGGAAUUCCUGGUGUAGCGGUGAAAUGCGUAGAUAUCAGGAGGAAUACCGGUGGCGAAGGCGACUUACUGGACUUAAACUGACGCUCAGGCACGAAAGCGUGGGGAGCAAACAGG